rnacentral:rRNA from 1 species
UGCGUAGGUGGCUGAGUAAGUUAGUGGUGAAAUCCUACAGCUUAACUGUAGAACUGCCAUUAAAACUGCUCAGCUUGAGUAUAGUUGAGGCGAGUGGAAUGUAACAUGUAGCGGUGAAAUGCUUAGAUAUGUUACAGAACACCAAUUGCGAAGGCAGCUCGCUAGACUAUUACUGACACUGAGUCACGAAAGCGUGGGUAGCGAACAGGAUUAGAUACCCUGGUAGUCC